UUGAUCAUGGCUCAGGAUGAACGCUAGCGACAGGCUUAACACAUGCAAGUCGAGGGGCAGCGGGGUAGUGCUUGCACUACUGCCGGCGACCGGCGCACGGGUGAGUAACACGUAUGGAACCUGCCCGCAGCAGGGGGAUAAGCGGAAGAAAUUCCGUCUAAUACCGCGUAAGAACGUUGGGAGGCAUCUCCCGAUGUUUAAAGAUUUAUCGGCUGCGGAUGGCCAUGCGGCGCAUUAGCUAGUCGGCGGGGUAACGGCCCACCGAGGCGACGAUGCGUAGGGGUUCUGAGAGGAAGGUCCCCCACACUGGUACUGAGACACGGACCAGACUCCUACGGGAGGCAGCAGUGAGGAAUAUUGGUCAAUGGCCGAGAGGCUGAACCAGCCAAGUCGCGUGAGGGAAGACGGCCCUACGGGUUGUAAACCUCUUUUGUCGGGGAGCAAAGCGAACCACGUGUGGUUCAUUGAGAGUACCCGAAGAAAAAGCAUCGGCUAACUCCGUGCCAGCAGCCGCGGUAAUACGGAGGAUGCGAGCGUUAUCCGGAUUUAUUGGGUUUAAAGGGUGCGCAGGCGGAGGUGCAAGUCAGCGGUCAAAUUGCGGGGCUCAACCCCGUACUGCCGUUGAAACUGCAUCCCUUGAGUGCGCGAGAAGUAUGCGGAAUGCGUGGUGUAGCGGUGAAAUGCAUAGAUAUCACGCAGAACUCCGAUUGCGAAGGCAGCAUACCGGCGCGCAACUGACGCUCAUGCACGAAAGCGUGGGUAUCGAACAGGAUUAGAUACCCUGGUAGUCCACGCAGUAAACGAUGAACACUAACUGUUCGGCCAAAAUGAUGGCUGAGUGGUACAGCGAAAGCGUUAAGUGUUCCACCUGGGGAGUACGCCGGCAACGGUGAAACUCAAAGGAAUUGACGGGGGNCCGCACAAGCGGAGGAACAUGUGGUUUAAUUCGAUGAUACGCGAGGAACCUUACCCGGGCUCAAACGACACAGGAAUACUUUUGAAAGGAGGUAGCCCUACGGGGUCUGUGUCGAGGUGCUGCAUGGUUGUCGUCAGCUCGUGCCGUGAGGUGUCGGCUUAAGUGCCAUAACGAGCGCAACCCCUAUCGCCAGUUACCAUCAAGUAAAGUUGGGGACUCUGGCGAGACUGCCGGCGCAAGCUGAGAGGAAGGCGGGGAUGACGUCAAAUCAGCACGGCCCUUACGUCCGGGGCGACACACGUGUUACAAUGGCAGGUACAGAGAGAAGCCAGGUGGUGACACCGAGCGGAACUCGAAAGCCUGUCUCAGUUCGGAUCGGAGUCUGCAACCCGACUCCGUGAAGCUGGAUUCGCUAGUAAUCGCGCAUCAGCCAUGGCGCGGUGAAUACGUUCCCGGGCCUUGUACACACCGCCCGUCAAGCCAUGGAAGCCGGGAGUGCCUGAAGUAUGCAACCGCAAGGAGCGUCCUAAGGUAAAACCGGUGACUGGGGCUAAGUCGUAACAAGGUAACCGU
rnacentral:rRNA from 1 species